CUGAUUCAUGCAAGUUCGUAACGAGAAAAGGAACUUCGGUUCUGAGUUAAAGUGGCGGAAGGGCGAGUAAGACGUGGGUAACCUGCCCCUGAGAUGGGGACAACUCCGGGAAACUGGAGCUAAUACCGAAUACGAUGCGAGUUUCGCAUGGAACACGCAUGAAAAGGCGGGGACCGCUUCGGCGGCCUGUCGCUCGGGGAGGGGCCCACGACCUAUCAGCUUGUUGGUAAGGUAAGAGCUUACCAAGGCGAUGACGGGUAGCCGACCUGAGAGGGUCAACGGCCGCACUGGGACUGAGACACUGCCCAGACUCCUACGGGAGGCAGCAGAGGAGAAUCAUUCACAAUGGGCGAAAGCCUGAUGGUGCAACGCCGCGUGAGGGAUGAAGGCCUUAGGGUCGUAAACCUCUGUCAGAAGUUAGGAAAGGGCCGGGCGCUAAUAUCUCCCGGCAUUGACUGGAUUUCAAAGGAAGCUCCGGCUAACUACGUGCCAGCAGCCGCGGUAAUACGUAGGGAGCAAGCGUUACUCGGAAUUACUGGGCAUAAAGGGCGUGUAGGCGGGUGUGUAAGUCUGGUGUGAAAGCCCUCGGCUCAACCGAGGAAUGCCAUCGGAUACUGCAUACCUUGAGUGUGGUA
rnacentral:rRNA from 1 species